UAGGGCUUCCAGCAAGAGUUCAGGUUCAAGUUAGCACCCUGGACAGCUCCAAGUGAAAGCUCGGGCUGAUGAACCACAUAAACAGACUUUGAUGUUCCUUCAGAAAGAGAACUUCAUAGACUGAAACUUAAAUAUGUAGAACUGCAUCUUAGCUUAGUUAACUAGCUCUGCCUCUGCUGGAAGAAGCUUUCAGUAGUUGCAGAGCUCUCGAUUCUAUGACUGUAGUUUCUGGUCUGUAGUCUUCAGGCGCCAAGGGUGGCAAUAAGGCUCCCUCAUGCUGGGAAGGCGGUGGCAAGAUGGGCCUCUUGUGCUGGGGCUUCUUGGGAAAUGAGGUCAUCCAAGAUCAGGGCUCAGAGGAAUUCCUUCUGGCACUUCACAACCGGCUCCAGGUCCACAGCCUCAUUCCUCAAGCAUGGGGCAACUCACCUCAAGGCGUCAGUACUCAAAGUACCCAUGUGAAGUUGGCAUUCAGUAGGAAAUGAACAGCAAAUUUGACAUGGCAGAAUUUUACCAUAGCCAGUUUUGGGAGUGACUAACUCAACAGUACAAAGCAGUAGUCACUAGUUACGUGGUUAGACAGUCUUGCUGUACCUGUUCAUCAUAACUAGAUGAGCACAGCUGAUAACUGGGUUUUUCAGUGUUCUUUCCCUCUGCAUGCCACAAAAUCAUUUCCACUGUGAACCCUGAAAUAGUAGCCUUAUAGAUUAUCUUACUUUUUUAAACCUUUGCUCCCCUGUACUGUCAUGGGAAGCAGAAACUCCUGACCUGUUGUGAUCAUAAAUCUCUGCAGAUGCUACUGCUGAAAAAGUUGUGUCUUCACUCUGUGGUGGCCUGCUUUUAUUAUGUUCCAGCAUUUCAAAAGUGACUUAGCAGCGCUCCUGCUUCAAACACAUAUGAUUUCCUGCAUCCAUCAAUUGAAAUUUCUAUUAUACUCCUAGCAAACGUGUACUUGUGUAAGGAUCACUCUAUUUGCACUUUCAAAGGAUUGAGUUGUCUGACUGUCAGAAGAUCCUUCUAUCAAUAAAAAAAAUCCUGUAAUUCCCUUAAUCCCCAAAGUGCUAUGCAAGUGAAAUAAUACAUGUCAUAAUGUCAAGUCAAUCACAUUCACAAUUCAGAAGAAUUCAUCAUGAGCCCGAUCUCAUAUGGGGCUGUCUAGCCGACAAAAAAAAAAAGCAAGCAGAUGCAAUUAUCUCUUUAAUAAGCUACAUCAAAUGAGUGCAACUUUUAAAAAUUAACUUUAAAGAUAGAUGACAUAAAGAUUUUAAUAUUAAAGGUAAAAAUGGCAAAGGAUUCAGAUGCACAAUCAGUGUGACACUUGUUGAAAACCAUGAGUGGCAUUGUGCAAAGGUGGCUAGGGAGGAAAUGAGAAGGACUCCUAAUGUUACUAAUGUACAAGCAGCAGUGUCUACAUCUUUUUUGCGGAUGAUCACAUGUUUUAGAUGUGGCUAGAGGUUAUGCAACUUGCCAUAGGGGUGAUGCAUAUGUUCCUUAUGCAGGCGGGACAGUGAAAAACCUGCAAGGAAAAUGUGUUAGUCACAUGUGCUUUCUCAUUCUUCAAUGGUUCUACAUAGCAUGUGGAACUGUUGCAAGUAGGUCUCAAAUCCUGUGACUUUGAGUAGCAUGCUUCCUUCAUGAUUAAUCUGCUGUGUCCCUGGAAUCAAUAAUAGCUUUAAUAUGAAUGUUAAUCACAUGGAACAUGGGUAAUUCAAAGCACGCCUAAUGCAUCUGGUACCCUACAGAGAGCACGAGCAUCUUUCAACAAACCACGUGCCUGAUUGCUAGGAAAAAGCAAUCAGUGAGCUAGAAUAUCCUGUGUUAACGGUAGGCAGCAUGGUGCCCUUCAGUUGUUGCACUCCAGCUACCAUGACACCAACUAACACAGCUAGUGGUCAGGGCUGAUGGGAGUUGUAGUUCAACAACACCUAUUUUGCCCAAAAAGCUCAACAACUUUGCCAAAAACAGCUCAACACCUUUUCUGUACGGAUUUUCAGUUUGAGAUAUGGUGACCCUAUGUAAACAUGCAAUGUCAGAGAGCACACAGGAUCUCUUAACAGUCAAGGCAAAACUGUUGCAUGGUAAGUGAUGAACUCCUGCUAAAACACUAAGAAGUACUUUGCAGGAUCAGAACAAAGACCACCUAGUCCAGAAUUAUUUGCAAGACUCCCAGUAACCAAAAGACAUUAUUGAUCAUCUAUGAGUAGACUGUGUUCUAGCUUUUGUUUGUAUCUUUAUCUACAUGACCGUAAUCAUGGAAGAUGUCUGAAGUUCUUUCUCACUCCUUUCUCUCUUGAAUUGCAGUAAGAAAUCUUAAUGCAAUUCAUAAAUAGUUUCACAGGAUGCAUUCCGUUUGAAAUUAGAUUUUAAAUAAUGCAGUGUCAAAAGCAAUCUCUAAUGGAAGAAGAUUGCCCAUAAAAACUACCAGGUGGUAGUUUGUGCAAAAUUCAAUCACUGUCU